ensembl:lncRNA
GGACACUCUUUUGGCUGUCAUGGACUCCACCUUAAACGGUCCAGCCCAACGUUCCUCUGCAGCGUCUCUUCACUGUUCGCGAUCUCAAAGUCAUCUACCUUUGGAUCGGCGCUGCUGCCGUGAUGAACCCGAUAAAUUGCAAAAUAUGGGCUCACCUUUGUGGAACGCUGCUUCGAGGUGUUUAUCGAAUAAACAGCGUGUUGCAGAUAGACGUCCCAGUCAUUCCGCUCCUCAUUACAGUACUUUGCAAGAUGCCGCUUAAUGUUCUGGUUUGAGCGCUCAUCUUGCCCAUUGCGCUGCGGGUGGUAGGCUGAAGUUACAGCAUGCUCUAUCCCAAAGGUUUCAAAAAGAGCUUUGUUACAGUCAUUAACAAACUCUCAGUUUAUGUUAUUUAACGCUACAGAUUACACCUAACACACGUGUAAUUCAGUUGCUAUUAAUGUUGAACAGCAACGUUAAACGUGACACCACAUUAAAUGUCAGGCAAACGACGUUGCAGCUCAGCGGGAAAAGUAGAGGUCCUGGUAUUAGCCAAUCAAAUAAAUGGUGUUUUCCGUUCCUGCCUGGUAACUCAUCUUAACCAAUCAACAUUCUAGAAUUACAUCCGUAUGCGGAUCGUUUUUGAGUCAACCCAUCGUCUACUUACAGGUUCCACUACUGGGUUCAGUGUUGUUGCUAAUGAGGCGAUAAUUGGUGUGACACACCUCAAGACUUCCUCUUACCUGGAAGUCUGUGAAAGGGAUACCAGCAUUGCUACCCUUGUGUGCGCCCAUUACUGCUGUGUUGCAGCACUGUUAACAACUUUGGACAAAGCCUGAGGCCUGAAUCCGUUCAACAGGAUCUCCAGCCAUUUCAGGGGGGCCUACCUGUGAGACUGACCAGCAGAGAGGUAGAAUGGAGAAAGAGGAGAGAGAACAGCAGAGAAAAUGUUCUAAAAGCGAUUGCAUAUGUAUAUACGCAAGUAUGUAAUAAUAUAUGAAUUCAUAUGAAUACAGUGCACAGUUUAUUUAUGCACCAUGUUGAAAGGCAAAUGGAAAUCUCACAUACGCAGUGGAUACCAACGUCACAGCACAGGGUUCUGCACUUGUCUGGCCGUCGGGGAUUACCGUCAGAGGAUAUUUGCUUUGUCAUACCAUUGCACUGUUUCCACUGCAUCCGACAUUCGUGGAGGAAGCACAG